GGCUACCUGGCGCAAUGGUAGCGCGUUUGGCUUCGAUCGCCGGCGGCUAAAGCAAGGUCACGUGACCAAAAGGUUGCAGGUUCGAUCCCUGCGGUGGUCA